UAUGCCUCUGUACGUUUAGGAAGCGUUGAUCAUCAGAAUAAAGUUUUGUCUUCUCAAAGCAAAGUAGCUGAUAGACUCGGCUUCUGUUGGUCGUUUAUUUUAGUUUAACCACGUAAUAUUGUACAAUAAUUUCAAUAACAAUACUGUCAUCAGGUGAGCCGGCCGGAUCGCUUAAAGGUGAGCACGGUGCGAUACUGUAUAGGUUCCGGCUACACAGUGGUCCGAUUAUCAGUUCCGCCUCAGGUGUGAAAUGCUCAGGUUGUGCACGGGCAAGCUGGGCCCAACUCUCAAUAUAAAUAUCCAAUUUAAAUUACGCUUAUAAACGAAUAAUUGGCAUAUUUAUCAUAUGCUCCCCUCUUCUGCACAGACUUCAUCAAAUAAACCUUGAGCCGAGGUGUCAUUGUUUGCAUUCAAACUAUUCUAAAUUGGCAUGAAAACUUAACAACGCCAUCCAAGUGUGCACCUGCAUAAGUAUAUCAUUGCUGAGUUGCGGUUGGAAAACUUCCCAAAAGAGAUUCCUACUGGUGGAUUUGUGAUUCACCGGGUGAGUAAAGCCUUCCAGCGGGCUCUUGGCUGGUUUUAUUUAGAAAAACAUCCUUUCACACUUGCAUUUGCACCCAAGAACAAUUUAUAGUCUUCAAUCAACUCAACAUGCAGGUUUUUGCAAUGCAGGAGAUAAAAUAGCCUACCUGCAGAACAAUCAUGUAAGCACAGGGUAGAACAUACUCCAAAACCUAAGAAUAAAAGUCACAUAGGGAAGGCCGCAGCCUCAAUUUGACUCCCCUAGCACAAAACUGUGAGGUGAAAGUCAAAUAAUCAAAUUUGUCCCUAUUAUUGGUAUGCAUGUACUCCACAUGUACCUCGCAGGUUAAAGUAAAAAAGAAAAAGUACAAGGUUGUGAAGAGACAGUGAUAAAUCUACUUUCAGAUACAGCAAAAGAGAGAUAAAAACCUGUUGCACUCUGCUAUGAUUGACAGCUAACUCUAUAGUUUGUGCUUUUUCACUUUAUUCUGACUAUAAAACAAAAAAGCUGCACACUCAUGUCACAUUAAAAAGUCAACAUGCAAACACAAAUGGUCAAACAUACUUUUGCCAAUUAUUUUUUUGUGUGAAAAGCAUUGUCUCGAUCUCUUCAUUAAAUCCAAAUGGAUCCUGCAGGUUGUGACAGAGCUUUGGUUCUUACAUUGAAUGCUAACACAGCAUUCUAUUUUUGCAACAUUUUUCAAAUUGGCCCAGGUAUACUGGUAGCUAAGUCCCAAUUUGAUAAAGAUUAUUGGAUCCCAUUGAAUACCUGCUGCAGUGCAAGUGGUACACUUGAUAGUUUUUUAUCAGCUUAUGAGCAGGUCGGGAAGCCAUAAAAAGAUUAACGGAGAAGUACCACAUU